GAUGAACGCUAGCGGGAGGCUUAACACAUGCAAGUCGAGGGGCAUCACGAGGUAGCAAUACUUUGGUGGCGACCGGCGCACGGGUGAGUAACGCGUAUGCAACCUACCCUGUACAGGGGGAUAGCCCGGAGAAAUUCGGAUUAAUACCCCAUAAUGAUAUCUGGAGGCAUCUUUGGAUAUUUAAAGAUUUAUCGGUACGGGAUGGGCAUGCGUAACAUUAGCUAGUUGGUAGGGUAACGGCCUACCAAGGCAACGAUGUUUAGGGGUCCUGAGAGGGUGAUCCCCCACACUGGUACUGAGACACGGACCAGACUCCUACGGGAGGCUG
rnacentral:rRNA from 1 species